rnacentral:rRNA from 1 species
UGGGGGAUAUUGCACAAUGGGGGGAACCCUGAUGCAGCGACGCCGCGUGGGUGAAGAAGUAUUUCGGUAUGUAAAGCUCUAUCAGCAGGGAAGAAAAUGACGGUACCUGACUAAGAAGCCCCGGCUAACUACGUGCCAGCAGCCGCGGUAAUACGUAGGGGGCAAGCGUUAUCCGGAUUUACUGGGUGUAAAGGGAGCGUAGACGGUGAUGCAAGUCAGAAGUGAAAGCCCGGGGCUCAACUCCGGGACUGCUUUUGAAACUGUGUAACUGGAGUGCAGGAGAGGUAAGCGGAAUUCCUAGUGUAGCGGUGAAUUGCGUAGAUAUUAGGAGGAACACCAGUGGCGAAGGCGGCUUACUGGACUGUAACUGACGUUGAGGCUCGAAAGCGUGGGGAGCAAACAGG